UACGGAGGAUCCGAGCGUUAUCCGGAUUUAUUGGGUUUAAAGGGUGCGCAGGCGGGAGAUUAAGUCGGCGGUGAAAUUUUGCAGCUCAACUGUAAAAGUGCCUUCGAUACUGGUUUCCUUGAGUGUGGAUGAAGUAGGCGGAAUUUGUGGUGUAGCGGUGAAAUGCUUAGAUAUCACGAGGAACUCCGAUUGCGAAGGCAGCACACUAAGUCAUUAUUGACGCUGAGGCACGAAAGUGUGGGGAGCAAACAGGAUUAGAUACCCU
rnacentral:rRNA from 1 species